AAAGAACUGCCACCGGAUAGUUCAUGCGAUAAGCAUUAAGUCUAUACAUCGUUAGGUCUUAGAAGAUGUAUAGAAGUGAUGCCUAUUUUU
rnacentral:ncRNA from 1 species